UACGUAGGGUGCAAGCGUUAAUCGGAAUUACUGGGCGUAAAGCGUGCGCAGGCGGUUCGGAAAGAAAGAUGUGAAAUCCCAGAGCUUAACUUUGGAACUGCAUUUUUAACUACCGAGCUAGAGUGUGUCAGAGGGAGGUGGAAUUCCGCGUGUAGCAGUGAAAUGCGUAGAUAUGCGGAGGAACACCGAUGGCGAAGGCAGCCUCCUGGGAUAACACUGACGCUCGUGCACGAAAGCGUGGGGAGCAAACAGG
rnacentral:rRNA from 1 species